rnacentral:lncRNA from 1 species
GUCUUUCAUCUUUUUGUGCCAUAUUUUUUGCUUAAGACAGUGACUUCGCCCUUCAUAUUUUGGCUGCGGAUGCGGGGUGGCUUCGCCCUUGAUUUUCUUCUUUUCUAUGGAUAUGGAUUUCUAUGUUCUUACUAAAGUUAGCUACCCAUCUCCGUCCAGGCUCUCCCCCGGAAAGCCCUUCCCACCUCUUGACCCAAGCUGCCGCUCUUCACCAAGACCACCCAGGAACAAGCAAGAAGAAGAAAGAGGAAGGAACUAACUAAUGAAAGAACUAAUGAUUCAGUCGCUACGCUCCAAGAACUAACUACAGAUGAUUCGGUCGCUACGCUCCAAGAACUAAGAACUAAUGAUGCUCCAAGAACUAAUGAUUCGGUCAACUACAGAUGAUUCAGUCGCUACGCUCCACAAGAAGAACUAACUAAUGAAAGAUCUCUGCGAUUAUCGUAAAUGAUUGAUGAAAACGAUCAACAUCGUGGACAAAGGGCAUCAAUUCUAGGUAGGUUUCGAGAGCUCAUUCUCUGAGUGGCUGGCAGAACCAGUCUUAUCUACUCACACCAUGAACUGGAGACUCGCUAGUUCUGGUACGCUGACCAAGCGACGGUGGCUCCAUACCCUUUAUGAUGUGAAUGAUCUUACCCAGUAGGAAAAAGUCGAUGCAAGGUGCAGGCUCCCCCCCGCAAAUUCUUUGCUCCUCCACCUCUUGACCCAAGCUGCCGCUCUUCACCAAGACCACCCCAAAUCAAUCCUCCUACCCAGCUUCCGAAGUCUUCCUAAAUAAGCAUCUCUUUCUUUCCGACUUUCUUUCUCUUUCCUAGUUCUAUCUUUGAAGUUCAGUUCUCAGUUCAUAAAGAAGUUUACUCGGCUUACUUCGGCUUCCUUAUAUUUGCUAGAAGUGACAAUUACCUAAUGAAAAAGGUAGCUUCAGUUUAGUCGUAAACUCGGUUACUUUGCCUGCGGCUUCCUUAUAUUUGCUAGAAGUUCAAUUGAACAACUAAAUUACUUUUCAUGAAAAAUGAACAAGAAAAUGAAGAAUGAAAAGAAGAAAAUGAAGAAUUCAGAUUCAAACUCUGAACAAGGAAUAUCGUUAUUGAUUGAUGAAAACGAUGAACAAGCAAUUCACGUCAUCGUGGACAAGACAAAGGGGGCAUCAAUUGUAGGACUCUUUCUAGAGCCCAGCUUGCCUGGGUGGCUGGCGGAAACCAGUGUUCCGGUCCUAGACCAUGAACUGGAGAUUGAAUCGCUAGUUCUGGUACGCUGACCAAGCGACGGUGGCUCCAUACCCCUUUAUGAUGUGACGUGACCCAGUAGGAAAAAGUCGAUGCAAGGUACAGGCUCCCCCCCGGGAAGCCUUUCCUUUGUCUCGUUUUUCUACUAUGGGUGGUGAACCAGAGCGCAGGGAAGCCCGUAGGGGGGAAAGUCUUGUGUUGAGCUGCCGUCCCUAUACUUUGAACGAUUACUUAACUUACGCUGUUGCUGUCGGGCUCUGCCCCUUAUCUUUAUCCUUAUCUAGCCUAGUUUGUGGUUCUAUUUCUCAGCUCCUAGUUUGUGGGGAAGGAAAGGAUAGGGUUCUAUUUUCUCAGCUCCUUGAAGGUAGGUGUAGCAGAGCUUUUUCAUCUGCUUCCUUUUAUUUUGUUGAUUGCGAGAACGUUCUAGAACCAUUAACUGAGGAGAGACUUCCUAGACGGAUUGGUUUAGCCUAGACGGAUAGACAGAAGAUUUCUGUAUUCCCUUUUAUCUUUCUGUAUUCCCUUAUGAGCCUCCACAUAUAAUAUAAAGACACUAUAAAUAUCCCUGUCUUAUGGAACCUUGAGUCCUUUUUCUCGCUAAUAGGUCCGGCCUGUAGUCCGGCUUUUCCUUCCAUCUUUCAGGGAUAUCGAUCCCGCUCCGUGGGAUUCUUUGAGCCUUGUUCUUCGCAAUAUUCUUUGCACCUGCUAACCGUCCUCCGGACUAUCCGUAUGAACCUAGCCUUCGGACCAGCUGACUAUUCAAUCUAUUACAAAGGUUUGAGGAGCUGUCAAUAUUCUAUUCUUUGAACCUGAUUUCUAGUAGUUCGGGACAGAGCAGGUCCGGACUAGCUUAAUUAGGGCUUUCUCUUUCAGUGUGUGACGAAAGAAUGCAUCACUGAUCCAGCCGGUCCGGAGUCCGGAGGACAUUCGUUGCCGUAGGUUGCUUAAAGCUACAGACGAAGGCGCAAUUCAAUAUGCGUGGAAGCGCGGAGUGGGCCCUAGUUAGUACUACGACAGCUUCAAUCACGCUCCUGGGAGUACACGACGGAUUCAAGGGGUGGGCUUGCUCCCUUCUUUGCUUGCUCUUGCUUAAGUUCCAUAAAGAAGGACUGAGGACGUCCUUCCGGAGUAUAGAGGGAUCAAUCAAAAGUUCGAUUCUAUCUAUGCUACUCAUUUGAAAAUGGUAUCCACUCACACAAAGCUAAAUAGAAUUUUGACUUCGAUCUAUAGAUCAUUUGAACUUUCUGUUCUAGUGAAAUCACUUCCAUCCGUCCGAAGGCGCGAAGAACAAAAAGAAGGACGCAGAUGUGCGAAGCAGUGAGACUGUUAAGGAGCGCAACGAGGAAAUCCAUAUUCAAUACUGGAACUCUCACUUGAACUAGUCUUUCCCUUUUUUUGAUAGACGUGGGCCACAAAUAUCACUAGAAAAUCUCACUCUCUGAGCCAAGUCUGAAUUUCUUUAUGCUUCAAUGCCAAUUUACAAAUAACGAAUUCCAUCCUCACAUCUCAGGCGGACGGACGUGAGUGAUAAAUAAAGAGGAAGACUUAUCAUUCAUACCUGCCAAGCGUAGAGGCCCACGUAGCGGUGCAAGCCACCUUCUUCUUUCGGGACUAAAGCACAGAGGAAAGCUAUAACCUAGAACAAUGAUCUGGAUCUGACCUCUUGGACUUGGACUAAGAACAAGCUAGAACAAGGAUACGAUACAAAAAAAUAGGGUUGAUAGGCUUUCUUUCAAUAGCCAAUUUCCCAAUGAGUCUGAGUUCACAUUCACUAUUGAACUUGAAUAUGGAGAAAUAAGAGGCAAGAGAAAGCAUGAAAGUUCAAAAGUCUUUUCUUCUAAGCCUAUCCAUUAUCAGAGAAAGAAUUAUCUCAAGAAUUAUCGAAGCGAGAGGUGCAAAGAAUAUUGCGGACAGGUCCGAAGGCGCAAUUCAAUAUGCGGGCUCCUUUUGACUAUUCGCUAUUCAUUCUAAAAGACAAAGAGGAUAAAUAGUAAUCCUUGCCGUAGGUUCUUCCUUUGGAGCAUAUUUCUUCCCUUUUGCAACUUUUCUCGUUCAAUGGAGACUCAAAAAAGAUGUAUUAUCGUUUCUAUCUCGCAUAAAUCACUAAAAUAGCACAAAAUGCAGCCCACAAUAUCCCUGUCAACGCAAUAUUCUUUGCGCCUUGCUUCAAUAUUCUUUUCCGCAAUAUUCAAAGCUCCUAACUACUAAUGGAAAGGACUGAGGACGUCCGAAGGACUCUAAACCGGACGACCAUAGGGAGAGGCGAGAUCUAAUAUGAGUUGAGAAGCGCAUUUAUCUAAGAAGAGAAAACGAGUCAAGAGGACGGAGUGCAAGGAAGAAAGACCAUUUGCACCUACAUCUGGACCCCUUGCCUGAGAUAAUUCUUUGAUCGUCCGAACGUCUUUAAUUUCGAGCCCUCAGUCCUUGUUUAUUCUACAUCGGCUGCUAGGGAAGAAGCCUCUGUUGCGUAAGAAGUUGCGAGAGAAGGGCCUGCUGGUUUUGAGGGGUAGCUAGCAGAGGGGGUUGCUGCAGAGGUCGCUAGACGAACCUUCUUGAUUUCAUUGAAAAGAUUCCCCAGUGAAAAGAUUUCCCAAAACGAAGAACUACGACCAUGAAAACCCACUAUUUAGAUUCCCACUACGCGGACAUAAUAUCUAAAGACGGAGAAGGAGCGGACCUCAAUGAACAAGGGAUUAGGACGACGGCUCCGAAGGCGCAAAGACAGGUCCGAAGGACUAUCCAUUAGGGGAUUUGAUGACCCAUAAGAGGUUUAGAAUCUACUGGACCUUUGCUUUGUUUUUGGGUCCUAAUUCACUCCAAACCUUCUUCCAUAGGGAUGGAGGCCACCUGCGGUACAUACCUUCUUACAGAGAGUGGAAAGUAGGUUUGUGAUCCUAUCAACUACUCUCCGCACGGAUUCCAAAUCUCUGAUAUAGAACUAUGAAUCUCGUAAAAGAACUUUGAAUCUCGUAUAUGAUAGUGGGAAAGUCUCUAUUACGAGAAUCAAGAAGUACGAGAAGUGCUUCAUGUAAAGGCUGAGGCGUCUUAUUCAUGUGGAGGAGUGGGGCAUUUUCCUCCUUACUGUCCCAUCCCAAUGUGAUUGAUCUCUCUUUUAUGUCUUUGGAAUAGUCUUGAACCACUACGCUCCCUGAUCAUUCAUCCAGCCUGAGUUCGACUCAUGAACCGCUACGUGGGCAGUCGCUGAUCAAUUUCUGAGAGCCUUGCUAACGCACCUUUCCAGUCCUUUAUUCAGCCAAAAUGCAAUUCCAUCUCGCCUCUUCUCCAACUCUUUCUAUUUCAGUAUUGGUCCAGUCCGAUCUGACCGGAUAGCUUGAGGUCUAACCCCUCCUCUUCGAGUAGUACUUUUUUUCUUUCGUCCUCUAAUGGAAGAAGGCAGAGACUGAUUACGAGUAGGGAAAGUCGUCUAAUAAAUCGCGCUCCAUAUCCAAACCUUCUUUAUGGAUGAGGCCCCGUGGGGUCCAACUCAAUCAAAUCCUAUUCAAUUAUCAGACUCACAAGCAUGUGUGUCGCAUAUGAGCUCCGUGGGCUUAUCAUUCCCUAGUCCCACCAUCUAAUGUCCGGGUACCUGUAGAACGAUGAUGGUAGGAAUUCGAACUGCACCGAUGGCCAUAUCCUUCUAUUGUAUUGCAUAACCGAUGAAACAAACUAUUAAUAGUUUGCGCUUCCAACGGCAAGGGUGGUUUUGGAUAAUCCUGAUAGCGGUUCUGUCUGGCCCAUCUGCAGCUUCCACUAGGUCACUACUAGUCUUCCGGGAUAGACUGAUAAAGAUUACUCCCUUGUCUUCCUCUGAUGAAAGAGAUAAUUACCUUGAUCUAGACCCUACUAAAAUGAGUGAUACCUUCCUCUUCCGUCUCGCCCUUUCUCCUCUUCCCUUUCUGACUGGGCACAACGGAGAAUUGAGAUUUUUUCUUGCAUGAAAGAAUAGCGAAUUCCGAGACUGACUAUUCUCCUCUUCCCUUUCUCGUGGUGAAAGAUCUUUUACGAACAAAGAUUCUCAAUUGAUAUUCCUUCUCAUUAAAAAAGAAUUGCACACUAUGAUAAUCUAUGCACUCUAUAAUGAUCAUGAAAUCUUCUAUUAUCGUUUGUGAAGAACUCAGAAUAUCUUUCACUCUUCCUCGCAAUAUUCUUUGCACCUCUUUUUGUUUUGAAAAACCAGCGCCCACGAGGCAAAUAUAGGACUGCGGUCCUACGAAGCCGGUAAACGUAUGGCAGAGUAUCAUGGAUAAGAAGAAAGAGAAAGUUCAAGUAGGUAGACCUUGAUCUUUGAGUUCUCUUUUAUUUGAAGGCCAAAAUCAAAUAGCGGACCGAGAAAUGGUGCCCGAAGAUGGCGGAAAUCUUCUCUCAAGCAAUAGAAAUAGAGAAGAAGAAGAUCGAGCUUAGAAUAUCUCGACCGAUAGAGGGGCCUUCUAUCUAAUGUUCGUAUGUAACGGAGAAUUUGGAAUCUCAUCAUCUGAAUUCGCACUUCUUUUUCUUUGAUUUCAUGCUUUCUGAGUUACUGAAUUCUCAAUUCGAAUGGGGCGUAAUUUCUUCCUGAGUUCACCUCUAUCUCGUAUUCUCGACCGAGACAAAAGAAGGCAAGUUAGCAUUUGGGGAAUGAAACUAGCCUUGAAUUCGCCGACCGGUAUCGCUUCCAUUCCCAUCCCGGAAUGCUUUUACCUCGUUCUUGCUUGAAUUCCGAUUUCUUUAUUAGAGGUUAUGCUUUGAAGAAGAGAUCAUGAAAGAAAGAGAUAAUACUGACUGACCGCCCCCUCCGUGGGAAGAAUAAAUAAGUGCAAGUGCAGGUUGAUGCAAUCUGAUCGAGGCAAGUAUGGAAUGAACGAGUCAAAAGGACAGGUGCACUUUCACUCUUUCCCCACGUAGCGGUAAGUUGAUGUCAACCAGUCCAAGAAAGAGGGACGGAAGGAUUCUCACCUCUCCUAUGUUGUCGAGCUUAAUUACCGAAUUGGUCAAAUCAAUCACCCUACUAUAUUAUCUGAUAACCUGAAUUCUCUCUCUUAGCGCCCUGACCACCUGGCCACGGCCCCAUUCGAGUUGCUUCGUCGCCGAAGGAAAGAGAUAAGGAAUGCCGACUCAAUCUCUCAAUAAUCUCAUGGGCUUUCCGGUCCGUAAAUCAUGUAAUGUGAUAAUCCCGGAAAAAUCUUUCUCGAAGGAAAGGACUAGCAAAUCAAAGGAUGACGAGAAAGCGCCCUGUUAGGCCUUGGCCUACAUCUCAUGCUUACUCAAGAGAGAAUACCGCUGCCUCGGAAGAAAUGGCACAAGGGGCCUGGCGGACUCCUGCAGUGACUUACUCAUACUUGGAACUGGACUGAUCUUUCUCUAAGUCUUUUCCGCUUACUCUGAAUGAUCUCUAAGACCUUUUUCUGAUCUUUCAUUUCUGUAGAAAGGUUUCAAUUUCUCUUUCUUGAUUCCGUAAUUCUUCAAUCUCAGAUUGAAAUUCAGAGGUGCAAAGAAUAUUGCGGCUAUUACUUGGUGGACGAAUUAUUAAGGAGAAGGAGUCUAGAUAAGCUACUUAGGACUCUGAUUGUGAACUAAUAGGUUCAAAGAAUAUUGACGAAAAGAAAAGAAGCUCAUUAACUCGAAUUAAAGAAGCUCAAAAUGGGAAUGAAAGAAUCCGAUCAUUCUUUGAGCCUUGUUUUUACGGAGGGAAAUCAAGAAUAGACCCGUCAGUAUCCGGACCAGAAACUCAAACUAGAAGUCUGAAUUUCUUUUCCCUGUCCUAGGCUUGAUUCUUUCAUUGCUAUUUCCCGGCUUUUUUGCUUCUUUUUCAUAGUUUUUCUCAUAUUGAUAUUUAACGAAAAUAGAUCAAUUUUGACUGAUUUUUUGUCUUUUCUUGCUACUUCCUAUGGGCAAAACCUAGCAAAAUCAUGGAAUUCACUCCGUCAAAAAGACUAAAAUCGAUGUCUGAAAUCUCCCAUAUUCACCUCUUUCUUUUUCAUUCCCAUUUUUUUCUUCUUUCAUUAUCGUUAAUGAGCUUCUUUUUGGCUGAUUUUUUGUCUUUUCUUGCUGCAUUAUUAUAUGAGCCAAAAGUGAAAAAUGACUAUUGGAUUUCCCUAAAAAAGUCAAUAAGGAAGACGGAGCGGUCAGAUUUGCAUUCCAUUUUAGGAGUGAAAAGAGAGAGAGAUCGGAGAAUAUCAGAAUAGGUAAGAAGUCAGAAGUUGAAAAAGAGACGAGACUCUUUGAUCUUUUAGAAAGAGUAUUCCAAAGUGGUAGAGUCGCAAAAAACUGGUGGAAUGCUCUCGAAGAACCGGAAAGAGGAAAGAUCUAGAAUAGCCUGUUGUUAUUCCAUCUGAGAGUCGAGUCCGGAUAGACUCCCCUCGGCUAAGAGACUUAUCCGUCACUUCUGUAACCUCUCUUUAGCUUCUGAAUUUCAUUGGCCAGCGGUUCGCCUUAUCGGUUAGAAGUUCCCUUGCCCUUCGUCUUUCAAGAUCAUCAAGAUUCCACCUUGUCGAAAUCUUGAGUAUUAUAGGGAGAGGUUCAAGAAUAAUCGGAGUAGUUCUUACGUGUACAAAGGUGUGAGGUGCCACGCUUCCAGCCGGAAAGCAAGGAAGGCUUAAUGGCAAGGUAGGGAAAGGCGGGUUGAGGCCGGAUGUAGUCUUCCCAUCGCUCCAGCCUUAGAUCGCUGUUAGUGCUGCAAUUGAAUCUGUUGUCGGAAGGGCUACUAGAGAGGAAGACUCCUUUGGCGGAGGCAAUGGUACCAUCCGAGGAGGAUUGGAUUGCCUGUCACUGGGAUUGAAUUGAGUAUAGCUGUCAAAACCCAGAGCUAAUUCAACAAAUGAAAGACGAAAGGAAUGAGAAGGACCCCCUUAUUGUAUUGCUUUCACAUAGAACCACUUAGCCUGCCAUUCAAACCCUUCUCCUCGAGAGUGCUCUCUCUAUCUCUAAGACGGUUGUGCUACUCCCCGAGCUAACCUACCAAUGGUAUACUAUACAGUGGUGAACUUUCUAAGGCACUCAAGAGAAGUUCAGAAAGCACGUCAGGGCAAUAGGAUUCUCGUAAUUGAACUAUCGAAAGAGGACAGCGGGCUGAGUGAAGAUAUUUUGAGCCUUAGCCCUCGCGAUCGAGCACAACCUAUGUAAAGUUGUACGCCUACAUAACCAUAACCAACCUCCCAGACAAAGAAAGAAAAGAAGGUCUCAGAUCUAUCUAUGUAGUUCUCGACCCCUUUCGUGAAAGCAGUUCCUGUACUUCUUUUCAUUCAUUCUCGUUUUUUUGGGCCCGGUAGAACAACGAUUGUGAAUUGGAUCGGAUAAAAGUGGAAACCCCCCCCUAUUUCCUCUUAUUGAGGAGUUCUUGAAUCGUCCCCUUAGCGUACCCAACCCUUGAAUAUUCCCAGCCUCUUGUUGAAGGCUAUCUUGCCUCAUCAGUCCAAAAAAUUGGUACAGGCCUCUUCGAGAAAUGCUUUUCUUGGACCGCAGGAUGACAUCUGGAACUUGAUGACUGGUGCUUGGAGUCGGAGUCCAUUUCGAUGCGAAGCCCCACUACCACAUAGGCGAAGAGAUCGUGGUGGUAAGGUACUCUUAUGGGUAUGCUGCUACCGCACCAAGCCAAUGAGCCAUACCAAUCUGACCCCCGUCCCCUGCCCCCCUCCGCGGGAAAGAUAUUGGUUGAAUCCCAAAGCAUCGGUUGCUUCCACUUGCGGCCUUGUAUCGAGAACGAGUGAAAGCCGGUAUUCAGACUUUCAGUAGCGGAGACAGGUGCGACCUCAAGGUCAUGAGCCUUGCGAGCUAGCAGGCUGCUCUACUCCGACGGUGGUUUCAAUACUGAAACCUGGUUCGGCAACAAUGCCCAACCUGACGAGAGAGCUCUCCCUCCAUUUUGGGGCGGUAGGUCACAGCUUCGAUUGUUCCCAUUGCCCGCACCCGUCACCUUCCAUCUCACCUUUCGCUUCGCGCCUUCGCACCCGUGAACUCUUUAAAGAAAAAGCCAGUCAGACUUUGCUAUUUCAUUCAUCCCUUUCAGUACCUAUGCGUCAUUCUUAUUACAUAGUCAGAAGUAGUCCUAGGUCAGCUAAGAGUCAAAGCUCUUUGCUUAGCUCAAUUCCUGCUUAUACUGCGAACUUGCCUUAGUCAAGAAUCAAUGAAUCUCUACAUGCAAAAUCCCAACUAGUUGGAUUAGCUUACCAGGGCGCCUGGGAUAAGAGUGGAAGUUCGGAUCACAAAGCUCAGAAAGAGAUCUUGAUGUCGAUGUCCGGCAUGUGACCUUCAACCUCCUUCUAUCGACAUCUUAGGCUCCGAGGUCAUUAUGGCAAUGGCAGUUGAAAGACCAGCAUAAGUAAUUUCGCACAUUUGAAAAAGAGAAGUAUGGUAGAGCCAUAGGCAGACUUAGACUUCGUUAGCGGUCUAGGUCAUACUACUAAAAGAAAGAGAAAGCCUAGAGGUCAAACUAGGAACUAGGGCCAUUGAAGUAGAAAUCUCUCUGGUACCUAUUGAUUCAGUCGUGGAAGUUUGGGGUCGGCUAGCUUAAUAUGGAUUUCAUCGUUGCGCUCCUUGCAAUAUUCUUUGCGCCUAAUUUGUAAACUCGAAAUCUUCUUUUUCAUGAUUUCUUGCUUCAAUAUUCUUUGAACCUAUAGGCAAAACCUUGCAUUUUCUAGGAAUGAACUCCGUCUUCAAUCUAGCAGAUGAAUUUUGAGCUUCUUGAAUUCGAGUUAAUGAGCUUCUUUGAUUGACUUUUCACAGGUGCCAUAAGACAGGGAUAUUCUUGGGAAUUGGAGUGCAACGAUGAAAUCUACCAUAUUCACUUUCUGACUUUGAAG